rnacentral:sRNA from 1 species
AGAGACUGCGCCUGCGCGGGCACGGGACAACCUCUCCGCGAUGACUGUGAGUGGUUCAGGGACCCCCGAGCCCCCGCCGGCCAUCCCCGGGGCCAGCUCAGUGGAGCAGCUGCGGAAAGAGGGCAAUGAGCUGUUCAAAUGUGGAGACUACGGGGGCGCCCUGGCGGCCUACACUCAGGCCUUGGGUCUGGACGCGACGCCCCAGGACCAGGCCAUUCUGCACCGGAACCGGGCCGCCUGCUACCUCAAGCUGGAAGAUUACGACAAAGCAGAAACAGAGGCAUCCAAAGCUACCCUCACCUUUUCUGAGGCUGAAGCACCGAGCCCCACAUUCGUCCCCCCACCUUCUUCUGGCCUUCCCUCGAGAUCUUUCCCUACUGCUCUUGCCUGGAGACGGUGGCCUCAUGGGUGCUGACAGCGCUCCUGUUUGUGCUCAGCCAUUGAAAAGGAUGGUGGGGAUGUCAAAGCACUCUACCGGCGGAGCCAAGCCCUAGAGAAGCUGGGCCGCCUGGACCAGGCUGUCCUUGACCUGCAGAGAUGUGUGAGCUUGGAGCCCAAGAACAAAGUUUUCCAGGAGGCCUUGCGGAACAUCGGGGGCCAGAUUCAGGAGAAGGUGCGAUAUAUGUCCUCGACGGAUGCCAAAGUGGAACAGAUGUUUCAGAUACUGUUGGACCCAGAAGAGAAGGGCACUGAGAAAAAGCAAAAGGCGUCUCAGAACCUGGUGGUGCUGGCCAGGGAGGAUGCUGGAGCGGAGAAGAUCUUCCGGAGUAAUGGGGUUCAGCUCUUGCAACGUUUACUGGACACGGGAGAGACUGACCUCAUGCUGGCGGCUCUGCGUACGCUGGUUGGCAUUUGCUCUGAGCAUCAGUCACGGACAGUGGCAACCCUGAGCAUACUGGGAACUCGGCGAGUAGUCUCCAUCCUGGGCGUGGAAAGCCAGUCUGUGUCCCUGGCUGCCUGCCACCUGCUGCAGGUUAUGUUUGAUGCCCUCAAGGAAGGUGUCAAAAAAGGCUUCCGAGGCAAAGAAGGCGCCAUCAUCGUGGGUGAGUGGAAGCAGGUCUGGGGUCUUUUGGACAUUACUGUCAUGGAAGGGAUGGGACUGAGCCAGCCAGGCCAGUUUUUUGGGGACCAGACUUGCAGCUGCAGGUUGUUUGGAAUACGGUUUGGUGACAUUAUUUUACUCUAGAUUCUCAGCAGCCAAGGUGCCUCAGGACAAAGCUGGAGCUCAGUCUGGAGCCUGGGAUGCAGAUCCCCCCUUCCCUGUGUCUCCCUGGUUUGUUGGAGAAGUUGAAGGGUCAAACUGGGCUGGGCUGCUGUGGAGCCCACUGAUGUCUUCUUGUUGCCAGAUCCCGCCCGGGAGCUGAAGGUCCUCAUCAGUAACCUUUUAGAUCUGCUGACAGAGGUGGGGGUCUCUGGCCAAGGCCGAGACAAUGCCCUGACCCUCCUGAUUAAAGCGGUGCCCCGGAAGUCUCUCAAGGACCCCAACAACAGCCUCACCCUCUGGGUCAUUGACCAAGGUAGGUG